UACGAAGGGGGCUAGCGUUGCUCGGAAUCACUGGGCGUAAAGGGUGCGUAGGCGGGUCUUUAAGUCAGGGGUGAAAUCCUGGAGCUCAACUCCAGGACUGCCUUUGAUACUGAGGAUCUUGGGUUCGGGAGAGGUGAGUGGAACUGCGAGUGUAGAGGUGAAAUUCGUAGAUAUUCGCAAGAACACCAGUGGCGAAGGCGGCUCACUGGCCCGAUACUGACGCUGAGGCACGAAAGCGUGGGGAGCAAACAGG
rnacentral:rRNA from 1 species